CCUANGGGGGGCUGCAGUAGGGAAUUUUGCGCAAUGGACGAAAGUCUGACGCAGCAACUCCGCGUGAGGGAUGAAGGUUUUCGGAUUGUAAACCUCUGUUGAGUGGGAAGAAAAAUUCAGGUAAUAAUACUAUCUGGACUUGACGGUACCAUUCGAGUAAGCACCGGCUAACUACGUGCCAGCAGCCGCGGUAAUACGUAGGGUGCAAGCGUUGUUCGGAAUCACUGGGCGUAAAGAGCGCGUAGGCGGUUCGGUAAGUCUGACGUGAAAUCCCAGAGCUUAACUCUGGAACUGCGUUGGAUACUGCCGAGCUUGAGUGUGGGAGAGGAGAGUGGAAUUCCCAGUGUAGAGGUGAAAUUCGUAGAUAUUGGGAGGAACACCCGUGGCGAAGGCGGCUCUCUGGACCACAACUGACGCUGAGGCGCGAAAGCUAGGGUAGCAAACGGGAUUAGAUACCCUGNUANUC
rnacentral:rRNA from 1 species